rnacentral:lncRNA from 1 species
UAUACACCCGUGAACAAAAUUUGGAGCAUAUUUCUCUCUACCUGAUUUCUCUAGAAUUUGGAAAAUUUGUGAGUAUUCUUAUGGCAAUAUAGUUAUUUGCAUAAGUGGAAUAAGAAUGUUUUCUUUUGCAAUAGAAUGCAAUUGGAGAAAUUUGUUGUUUUACCAAGGCUUUGACUGAAAUGGUAUGCUUUAAGAAAUCAAGCUCGACUUAUAGAGCCAAUAAAAGCCCCUUGGGAAAAUUGGCCUCAUUCCUUGUCUGCACAGUCCCUGUACAGGGUUCUUAACCUGUGGUGAGUAAAGACUGUCACUUUCUAACAGGCCCAAGAGCCCCAAGUUACCUUGGUACCUUAAGAGAAGAGGAAUUUACCCAAUUCAUAGGUAUUUGAGGGUACAAACCCAUGGCUGGUACAUGUCUUUAAAAAGUAUUAUCUAAGAGUCCUUGUGGAACACAGUUCCAUCAAAGCCAAUUUUAAAAGCCUAUGUGAAAAAUAAUUAUUCUUGCUGCACUUUAUGCAAAUAAUCAGGCCAAGUGUAAUAAGACUAAAGUUAAUUGUGCAAAAAAAAUCAGUCCUAUCAUGAUUUGUUAACAAAAAUAAGGACUGGAGAAAUUAUGUUUCAAAAGUUAUGGCACACCUGUCAUUAAAUUCAAGUCUCAUAAGUUGUUUUUAAGUUUUUGUCUGGAUUUUAGAUCAACCCUGCUUAUUCCUGUAAACCAACCAGUGAUCUCUGGCUGCAGCUCAGAAGAAACAAAAGGGAUGGGUAAUGUAAAAAUCUGGAUCAAUGUUCUAAUUCUGGGCAAUUAUCCUCCAAAUCCUGUCAGGUGAUGGGGGUAACCCUGGAGGUUUCUUUUUUGGGGAAAUAAGACCAAGGGAGCUAACCAAAGCCAAACCCCAUGCACCCAAGUCUUAGCAGGCAUAACUGUAGCCACCAGCUGCCUGGAUGUGUCAGCAGCCUCACAAGUUUUGGAGCUGUCCUCAUCCCCUUGUUUUGCUUUGGUCCAUGUCUUCUAAUCUAAUAACCCGAUUUGUCUCCACUUGCCUUCAGGCCAUUAAGUUCCAGAUGAUCCUCAGUGAGGGAUACCGUCCUUUCAAUAUUUAAUAAUCUCACCCUUCUACACAGACCCUCUAGACUGCCAGUCAGUGGGACACGACAGAGGCAAAAUGCUGUCCCUGUCACCCUUGACCUGGCUGGAUACUGCUUUCACCAACUCAUGGAGCCAACCCAGCCCUGCAGGCAAGAAACCAAGACCCACAGAACCACCACUGCCCCUCUGUUAGCAGGAAGCAGUUGCAGAAGGCAGACCUUCGUCCAUUUUACCCCAAAGAUUUGGGGUCGUGGACUCUUGAGGGGGAAAAUGUUAUAGUCGGCAGCUAGUUAGGUAGGCAGGGCAGAAAAGGGCUCUUCCCUCACCACACACACACCAGGAGUGUUGGGAGACCCUCAGGGCAUGGUCAGGUGGUUGUUAACUAUUUCUCUAAAGUAAUAAUUGGUCACAGCCGGUGCCAGGGAAAGACAGGCUCCUAAUAGAAAACACCUGAAACUAAUCAGCAGCUUCCCAAUAAGAUCUCAGGAGUGGGGAGAAAUGCAAGAUCCCAGAAGUAGGCCAACGGAUAAAACUCCCAGUCAAGAGAUUUGAGCAGACUUCCAGUAGCUGAAAACACAGAAGGCAUAGGAUAUGGACUCCCUUGACUCUUUAGUGUUUUUCCAAAUCUCUGAAAGACACACAGCCUUCUCGAAGUGGAUGAGUGUUCUUCUGCCAAGUCUCAUCUCCACGCGCCCUCUGCCCCGCCCCAGGGUACUUCUUAUUCCUUCCCAACCUCCAUUUCCUCCAGGCCUUCUGACCACCUCCCUCCCUGCCUGCUGCCCACAGUCACUUUCCCUCCUUUCCCCCAGCUCCCUCCCCUUGGGCUGAAAGCAGGCAAGUCACCUCCAGACUAAGAAACAACCAGCCAACCAUGAGCAGCAAUUUUCCUGUUUCUCCUUUGAAUCGACAACAUUUCUGUCAACAAGACCUCUGCCUGCUCACUCCUCAUUCACUCGGCGACUUAAAUGUACUAUUCUACUAAAAGGUCUCUUGAACCUCCAAAAAUAAAAAUAAGUGAUUCAGUCGUACCCCUGCUUCUGAGUGACAUCAUUGCACAUGUGGUCACUGAUGUUACUCCUUGUUUGUUGAAAUCCUCUCUUCCCUAGGGGUUCAUGGCCCUGCACUGUCCAGUCUCUCCACUCCUUCCAACCACUCCUUCCCUGACCCAUCUCCCCAGUGUGGCUCCUGUCCCUUUUCCUUUUGCCAAUUCUUUACCUUGAAGAUCAUAAUCAACUUUUACUCCUAGGGUAGUGGUUCUCAUCCUUGGCUGCCCAACCUUUGUCUCCUGGAGGAGCUUUAAAAAAAAUCCUGAUGUCCAGGUCCCAUCCCAACCAAUUACAUCAGAAUGUCUAGGAAUGGGUCCUGGUGGGGUCUGGGGAGUUCACUCUUAAAUCUUUAGACUUAGUUUCUCACUGAACCUAAUUUUCUGAAACACCUUCAUUUUUAGGCUGUGAUUAUUGGCUGGAUGAAUAUUUCCAUCUGGGCAAUCUAAGAGCCCCGUGAUGUCCCUUGUAGAUCUGAUCCUCUUCCUAUUUUCUCCUUUCACUUGGGCUGGAAGGCUGUGAUUGUCCUUAACUCUCGGCAUCCAGUAAGUCUGAGGUCUGCUUGUUUCCCCUCCUUGAAAGCCCUCAAAACUCUCCCCUCCAUUCCAGGUGGGCAGGUCUUCUUAUCUCUCACCUGGACUGAUAUGAAGCACCUGCCAGAGUUUCUCCACUUGCUCUUCCUCCUAGACAAGGCUGCCAGGACUAACUUCAGAGCCAAGGGCUGAUUUUGUCUUUUCUCUGCUCCGAAAUCUUUCCUGACUCUCCACUGUUCACUAAUGGCUUUGUGGCCUGCUUUCAUCCCCGCCCUCCACCCACUCUCUCUUGUAUACUCUCAGCCAAAAACCAAUAACUUCCCACUCCCCUGAUAUUCCUCCAACAUUUCUCUUAACUUUGCUCAAGCUGUUCUCUCCCUUAUACUCGCUCUGCCUCUUGAAAUCCUUCCCAUCCUUCAAAAUCCAAGUAAAAUGCCCCUUAUCCAGAACAACUUUUAGCAUUUCUGCAUCCUACAAAAUCCUGCAUUCCUACUGUCACACAGACCACAUUCUGUCCUGGGUUAAUUGUCAUGGUCUUUUAACUAGAUUAUAGGCAACUUGAGAAUAGGGCCUGUGCGCUGUUCACCAUUAAUGCUUUUACAUAGCAGCUAUUUGAAAAUUUUUACUAUACUAAAUUAAGGAGGUUUGCCUAUGUGAGUGCUCUUUUUAGCUCACAUAGCCCCUAAAAUAACUUUCUAAACCAUUAGAUCCAAUUUUUUAAACUGACAUCUGCAUUUUUUAAAUCAUAAAUUUAAAUAUUACAAAGAAUGUAUUUCCUCUUGUAUGCAUGCAUGCCUUAAAUAUAUUUUCAUUUAAAC